rnacentral:rRNA from 1 species
AUUGAACGCUGGCGGCAUGCCUUACACAUGCAAGUCGAACGGCAGCACGGGAGCAAUCCUGGUGGCGAGUGGCGAACGGGUGAGUAAUAUAUCGGAACGUGCCCGGUCGUGGGGAUAACGUAGCGAAAGCUACGCUAAUACCGCAUACGAUCUACGGAUGAAAGCGGGGGAUCGCAAGACCUCGCGCGAUUGGAGCGGCCGAUAUCAGAUUAGGUAGUUGGUGAGGUAAAGGCUCACCAAGCCGACGAUCUGUAGCUGGUCUGAGAGGACGACCAGCCACACUGGGACUGAGACACGGCCCAGACUCCUACGGGAGGCAGCAGUGGGGAAUUUUGGGACAAUGGGCGCAAGCCUGAUCCAGCAAUGCCGCGUGCAGGAUGAAGGCCUCGG